rnacentral:lncRNA from 1 species
UAAAUUGCAUGCUCUUUUCGACAAGACGCGUCAUGCUGACCCAAUACACCUCGUAGACCCCUUGAAGGCCGUCAAAUACCAGAUUAACAAUUGUUCCUUCCGCAGGAGGCAUCAGAAUCAGAGGUUCCUGCAACUUUUCUUUUAUUUUUUCAAUGCCCCUUGGCAAUCAUUAUUUCGCCUGACCGUUCGAUCUCUUUUUUUCACAGCUUGAAUUAUAGGUUCGCACGUGGCUGUUAGAUAAGAUGCGAACCAUGACAGGUAGUU